rnacentral:lncRNA from 1 species
GGAGGUUAAGGGUCAGGGUUGGGGGCUGUGGGCGGGAUACGCUCUCUGGAGCUCCAAGCCCCGCUGGAGAGUGGGGGUCUGGUUCCAGGGGGGCCCGCGAACGCGAACCGGGAUCCGCCCCGGCUGGAGGAGAGGGGCCCGGGGCGGGAGCCCGGCGCGGACUCGGAGCUGGGGUGGCCUCUAGAAGCGCCGACUCUGGUGAACCGAUCUACUGAGGGGGAUGGCGUGGAGCGCGCGCUCGGCGAUCGGCGCCACCUGCGGGUCGGGGAGGGCGAGGCGGCGAUGCCCGGAGGCGCGGGCGCAACAGAACUGUGCCACGAAGUCGUCGUGUCUGGCCCACGUUUGCAUCCCCUACAAAGGCGGCCUGAAAUUGAUGAAAGCGUUCAGUGUCCGUUAAACUCCAGCCUGCAUUAGAAAGAUCUGCAUCAAGCUGAAUGUGUGCUAGGGCCACUUUGGGCUCUGUCUAUGGCCAGAGUUGGAUAAUUGCAACGGAGACACUAUGCGACAGACAAAGGCUAAAGUACAUACCAUCGGAAUCUGUUCAUUUGUUUGUUUAUUUAUUUUUGAGACAGUUUCAGCGUGUAGCCCAGAGUGGCCUCGGACUUGUGGU